GGGUAGCAAGGGCGAAAUUCUAACCUGCAACAUGAUCCUUGAUGACGGAGACAGUCACAUGCGACAUGAAAGGCUUAUUUUUGAGAACUCGGAGUUUUGCCCCAUUUAGUGCUUUCUAGUAACAAGGAUGUUCAAAUAUCUGAGAAUAAAGCACAUUCUUUUAGUUGUCCAUACUUGAAUGCCAAAAAAAGAAGGUACAUAAUUGUUUUAACAUUGCCUGAAGCUCAAAACUCUGACUAACGGAACGAUGAAUGCAGGCUGUAUAAGAGAUUAACAAACGGAGACAUCUAAACCGUAACAAUCUUUACAUCACAUUAUUGCAAAACAAACAUAAUAUUUCCGGUUUGGCUCCCACGCGCAAAGUACGACAGUUUACUUUCGGUCGUGCCUCCUUGGCUCUGCGCAUUUCUAUGGGGAGGAACAAGGUUUGUUUGGAUCGUGAGUUUUCGGACACCCGGCUGGGCCGUUCUCCUCCAACUGAGACAGCACGUGUCCACGCCAAUGCGUCGGCAACGGCGGCAUGGCGUCGACUGAACCGCCGGAGGAGGGUUCCCCGGCGUGCACCUGAUCACCUUGCAGCGGCCUCGCAGAGGCCCGGGUCCAUGGGCCGGACGUAGCCACGAGGACCAAGAGCAUGGCCACUGCAAGCUUCGGCGUCAUCGUGGACGUGUCCGAACUUAUAAAGGCCGCAGCGUUGCUUGUCGUAAUUGGGAGCUAUAUAGAUCGAUCUGUCAAACUAGUUAGGCUUUUGAGUG
rnacentral:rRNA from 1 species